UACGAAGGGGGCUAGCGUUGCUCGGAAUCACUGGGCGUAAAGGGUGCGUAGGCGGGUCUUUAAGUCAGGGGUGAAAUCCUGGAGCUCAACUCCAGAACUGCCUUUGAUACUGAGGAUCUUGAGUUCGGGAGAGGUGAGUGGAACUGCGAGUGUAGAGGUGAAAUUCGUAGAUAUUCGCAAGAACACCAGUGGCGAAGGCGGCUCACUGGCCCG
rnacentral:rRNA from 1 species